GAUGAACGCUGGCGGCGUGCCUAAUACAUGCAAGUCGAGCGAACGGACGAGAAGCUUUCUUCUCUGAUUUUAGCGGCGGACGGGUGAUUAACACGUGGAUAACCUACCUAUAAGACUGGGAUAACUUCGGGAAACCGGAGCUAAUACCGGAUAAUAUUUUGCACUUCAUGGUUCAAGAGUUAAAGACGGUCUUGCUGUCACUUAUAGAUGGAUCCGCGCUGCAUUAGCUAGUUGGUAAGGUAACGGCUUACCCAGGCAACGAGGCAUAGCCGACCUAAGAGGGUGAUCGGCCACAGGUGUAAUGGGACACGCUGCAAAACCCGAAGGGAGGCAGGAGUAGGACAUCUACCGGAGGGGGCGAAAGCCUGACGGAGCAACGCCGCGUGAGUGAUGAAGGGCUUCGGAUCGUAAAACUCGGUUAUUAGGGAAGAACAUAGGUGUAAGUAACUGUGCACAUCUGGAAGGUACCGAAGAAGAAAGCCACGGCAAACUACGU
rnacentral:rRNA from 1 species